rnacentral:rRNA from 1 species
AACGUAGGAGACAAGCGUUGUCCGGAAUUAUUGGGCGUAAAGGGCGUGUAGGUGGAUCUUUAAGUCGUGUGUCUAAGUGCGGAGCUCAACUCCGUAUGGGCGCAGGAAACUGGGGAUCUUGAGUGCAGGAGAGGAAAGUGGAAUUCCCAGUGUAGCGGUGAAAUGCGUAGAUAUUGGGAGGAACACCAGUGGCGAAGGCGACUUUCUGGACUGUGUCUGACACUGAGGCGCGAAAGCUAGGGGAGCGAACGGG